GGGGUGGGGGGCGAACACAGCCUGCAAGACGCCGCGGCUGGGGGGGGGGGCACCCGGUGAGGCGCAUGGGCUGCAGUGCCUGAGGACCCGGGUUCGAGCCCCGCUCCCCCACUUGCACUUGCACGGCGGCGGGGAGGGGGGAAAGCAGGCCUGCAGAACAGAGAGAAAUUGAGACAGGAGGGAAGAUAGAGAGAAAGACACCUGCAGACCUCCUUCACCGUUGUUGGAAGUGUCCCUCCUGCAGGUGGGAGCAGGGGCUCGAACCUGGGUCAUUGCACGUUGUGAUAUGUGCACUUAACCGGGCGCACCACUGCCCGACCCCCACAAUUGUUUCUUGACAUUAUCAACUGAGAUUUAAAAUAUGGCUUAAUCUGUA